UAACGGCGAGUGAAGAGGGAAGAGCCCAGCACCGAAGCCUGCGGCAGAUUUGCUGUUAGGCAAUGUGGUGUGUGGGUCGACUAGCAGGAUCGUCACUCCACUCGAAGUCCAGCAUUGAGUAUGGUUAUUCCUGGAUUUGGCCCAUAGAGGGUGAGAGGCCCGUACGGGUGGAGGCUCAGGCAUGUAAGACGAUUCACCAGGUCGACCUCAGAGUCGGGUUGUUUGAGAUUGCAGCCCAAAGUGGGUGGUAAACUCCAUCCAAGGCUAAAUACUGGCACGAGUCCGAUAGCGAACAAGUACCGUGAGGGAAAGUUGAAAAGUACUCUGAAGAGAGAGUAAACAGUACGUGAAGCCGCAUGCAGGUAAACGGGUGGCGUCAAACUGCGAGCCCGGAGGAUUCAGCUGACUGGGUUGUAGUGUGCGCGCUUGGUGCGUCAAGUGGCCGGAGUAAGAUGUGGUAGUUCAUCCCUCUGCUAGGGGUGAGGCGCGGUCGUCCUCGUUGGCGGCUGUUGUCAUGUGUGCCGGGUGGGUGCCGGUGCAUGCUACCCGUCUGUUGGGCCGCCUGGUCAGUGCACUUUCUCUGUGGUGAACACCACGACCGAUGGAAUUGCCAGUCUGCUGUGAUCAAGUCGUAUCUAUCUGGUCAAUAUGGUCAGAUGGGUACGAUCGCAGGUGGAAGGGGUGAACGGCGUAGUGGUGCCUCGGUGCUGCUGCGUGUUAUCGUGCACUCACCACUGUAAACGAGGCUAUCGGACGUGUUGUAACCGCGUCUGGUGGUAUUUAUCUCGGCGGAUCAUGGUGGUGAAAGUGACUGUGCAAGGCAUCGGAGUUAUCCACCUCAUUUAUCAUGGUAUUCGGCACGCACGUUACAAGUGCUAGGAAUCAGGGCGCGCCGCUGUCUGUGGGUGUUGGACCUGACUGUUCGUGUUGCCUGCGCAAAGUGGGUCCGGCGGUGGUUGUCGACACCUUGCAGUGUGCAGUGUAUUAAAGCGUUGCCUUGGGUGCAUGUGAUACCGGGGGUGAAAUAGUCAGUGGUGCUGUGGUAGACGAGCUACCCGACCCGUCUUGAAACACGGACCAAGGAGUUUAACAUGUAUGCGAGUCAAAGGGUCCUACGAAACCCCGAGGCGCAGUGAAAGUGAAAUUCGUGUUACACUCUCACACAUACGCAGUGUAGCACGGUGCGGUGAGAUCCUGCUGUUUGUCGCCUUAUCGCUUACCAAGCUAAGGGCAGUGGGCGCAUCACCGGCCCGUCCCAUGAUGUGGUCAUGGGUGUGUGUAAUGGCAUGCGUGAAAGCGUGUGUUGUUGCAUUAGCCUGUGCGUCAUCGGGGCGGAGCAUGAGCAUACACGUUGAGACCCGAAAGAUGGUGAACUAUGCUUGCGUAGGUUGAAGCCAGAGGAAACUCUGGUGGAGGACCGUAGCGAUUCUGACGUGCAAAUCGAUCGUCAAACGUGAGCAUAGGGGCGAAAGACUAAUCGAACCAUCUAGUAGCUGGUUCCCUC
rnacentral:rRNA from 1 species